rnacentral:rRNA from 1 species
CAGCCGCCGCGGGAAUACGUAGGUGGCAAGCGUUGUCCGGAAUUAUUGGGCGUAAAGGGCUCGCAGGCGGUUUCUUAAGUCUGAUGUGAAAGCCCCCGGCUCAACCGGGGAGGGUCAUUGGAAACUGGGAAACUUGAGUGCAGAAGAGGAGAGUGGAAUUCCACGUGUAGCGGCGAAAUGCGUAGAGAUGUGGAGGAACACCAGUGGCGAAGGCGACUCUCUGGUCUGUAACUGACGCUGAGGAGCGAAAGCGUGGGGAGCGAACAGGAUUAGAUACCCCUGUAGUCCCUGUCUCUUAUAA